AUGUACAUGAGAAAUGGAGCACCAUGGACUAGGGGUAUGUUCUACAUUUCUCAUAGUUGCAUUUAUAUCCAUAUUUAUAUGCAUCUGCAUAUAGUAGAACUACAGAAGAAGAACAGUAACAAACCCAAAGCCCCACUGCAGGAAUGUUUCACCAAAUCCAAAGUUAAAAACUCAGAGACAAAACUUCCAUUGAGGCAGUUUGCCAGAAACCUGAGGACUCCACUCUACUUAACAGACUACAGUCACCCCUGCCCUCUACCUUCCCCAAAACACAAUACAGACACCCUGUUUUGCCCUGUUGAAACUAUUGAAAUAUUCAAGUCCUAGCAUGUUGAGCUCCGUCUUUAUUCAGUCUGUUUUUAAGACUAUUGUCUUCCUAGAUUGUGAUAGAGCCUAGCAUGUUGAGACUUGUCCAGGCCUUGGUCGAUAAUUCUGCAAGUUGAAUAGAAGUGUCCUCAGCAGUUCCCCUUGGCUUUCUCUGGCCAUCCAUGAUCUCCUCACUUUAGCUUCUCACUUACCUCUUAUUCCUGGGGUUCUUGUCUACCUUUCUUGGUUCAUUACAGUGGAAUUGGCUUCAUGUAUGUAUCUAAACUGAGUUUCUUGUGUUCCCUGACAGAGUUAAGAACCCCUCCCAUAGAACAGCUGUUCUUCCAUUUGUAAAAAUGGUUUGGCCUGAUUUCCCUCAGCUCUACCCUACCCCUGGGUCUGGGGCACUUUGGUUAGGGAAGAUAAACAGCUCUAGUGUUAAGCAACAGACUGACCAACAUUCAGAAGGAAGACAGGCUCAGGAUUUAAUAUUUAAAGUGAGGCAGCAUGGCUUAGUGGAAAGAUCUCUCUAUUUAGAGUCAAGGGAUAUGGGUCUGAAUCCACUUCUAAACUUCUCUAGACCUCACUUUCUAUAUUUGUAAAAUGAAGGGAUUAAAAGAAUACUAAUGGCAUAUAUAUCAAGAGAGUCAUGGCAAGUUCCAACCAAACUGACCUAUUUGCAGUUUCCUGUACACGAUAUUCCUAGUCCUACCACCAUGUCUUUAUAGAGGUUGUCCUCCCUGCCUAGAAUUGCCUUUUGGAGUCCUUGGUUCUUUCCAAGGGUCAGCUCCAUUGCCACCUCCUAUAAGAGACCUUUUCAAGUGCUUAGCACAGUGCCUGACACAUAGUAGGUGCUUAAUAAAUGUUUAUUGAUUUCUAGUUAUUAGUGUAUC
rnacentral:lncRNA from 1 species